AGCAGCCGCGGUAAUUCCAGCUCCAAUAGCGUAUAUUAAAGUUGUUGCAGUUAAAAAGCUCGUAGUUGAAUUUCGGGAUCAAUAUUUCGGUCAUGCCGUUGGUAUGCACUGUUAUCAUUGAUUUCUCACCUUCUAAAGAACCGUAAUGCCAUUAAUUUGGUGUUACGGGGAAUUAGGACUGUUACCUUGAAAAAAUUAGAGUGUUUAAAGCAGGCUCACGCUUGAAUACAUUAGCAUGGAAUAAUGAAAUAGGACAUCCGAUUCUAUUUUGUUGGUUUCUAGGAUCGAUGUAAUGAUUAAUAGGGAUAGUUGGGGGCAUUAGUAUUCAAUUGUCAGAGGUGAAAUUCUUGGAUUUAUUGAAGACUAACUACUGCGAAAGCAUUUGCCAAGGAUGUUUUCAUUAAUCAAGAACGAAAGUUAGGGGAUCGAAGACGAUCAGAUACCGUCGUAGUCUUAACCAUAAACUAUGCCGACUAGGGAUCGGAUGAUGUUAAUUUUUUAAUGA
rnacentral:sRNA from 1 species